CCCCAUCCUCAACUUCCUUCUCUAAAGAAUGCAUCAGACGUCCUACAAAAUGAACAAAGUUUUUGUCUGGCUUCUGUAGUAUAUCUGAGAAGUCCUGCUUUAGAGAGGAGGAUAACAUAGUUUUUGUCAGUGCAGAUAUACCUAUGCGUCUGCAAAGAUUCAGGACAGUCCGAGGAAGGCCAAAUUGCACAUCAGGAUAAGCAUAUUCGCUUCUCCCGGUAAGCAAAUCAGCUCUGACCGCAAACAAGGGAUCUUCUUGAGGCAAUUGACUAUUUUGGACAGCCACUUCUGCAGCCAGUCGUUCCCAAUUGUCCUCGAAGGUAGAAACCUGAAUAGGUUCAAAUAACGGCAAUGCUAAGGGUCUAAUUUCAUAAGGAAGAAUCAGAUCCUCAAAUUCUGCACUGAUCCAUUGAGUUACUUCAGUGAAGCUUACAUUACUUUUUGGCCACGUCCCUUCGGAAGGGAAACAGGACUGCCCAGGAUGGGGCAUCAUGGCUGUGAGGCUGUGGAACCACGCCCACAGCUCUCUGGAGCGGCUCGAGCAAUGCUGCAUAUUCAGACAGAUGCUCCGUUAGCCCCGCGGCCUGAUUUGGCUGCGAUGCAGGACCAGAACCUACAUCGCAAUUCAGGAGAGGGCGAGCGCGUAUCUCCGACAACGCUUCAGCCUCAUUUUCACCUUUCUCAGCCAGCUCGACCCGGCUGGGGCGGCGGGCGGGCGACAGAGACUCAGCCUCCGCUCUGAGCAGGGCGGUUUUCGUCGAGCUGGGCAGGGGGGCGUGGCUGAUCGGCCACAGCUCUCGGCUCCCUGCCACUUCUGGGGUGCUCGGGGCCGGACAGACAAGUCCCAGUCGGGAGGGAAUGGCGGCGGCACGGCUGCCGCCCCUGCUCCCCACUCAGCCUGCAUGUGCUGGCCGGGGACGCGGGAGCACGGCAUGGCCGCCGCUGUGACCAGCUCGGUCUCUGCAGGCGGCGUGGGGACGGUCCGGGCGGGAGGGCCAGGCGACGGCGGCGGCACCGUGGUUAGCAGCCCCUUCCCUGUACAAAGGGACCGGUGCGGCGCGGGGACAGGGCAAGGAGGGGCCGUCCCCGCUGGGCUCGCCUGCUGAUGUUAGGAACGAAAGAAAAAAAAAAAAACAAAAAAAAAAACCAAAAAAACCCAAAAAACAAAACAACAAAACAACCACCCCACAACUGACCCUCUCCUGGCUAGAGUAACACCCCCCACACCCCAGACAAUCUGAGCAGGGAGAGCUGCCCUGAAGGAAAGUUGCCUGGCAACUUUUCCCUACCUAAUUGAAAUGUGAAAAGAAGCUGCCCACACCUAGAUAGCCCUAUUGUCCUUUGUAACUACCUCAUUUAGCAAGAGUAACUUCGGCUAUGACCAGGACAAAUGCAUAUGCAUUUGGAUAUGCAGAUAGGGCAGGGCCGCCCCCGUGGAUCCUGGGAGGUUUUUUUGGGGAAACUGCACCCCAGGACAGGAAGCUGGAUUCAUCAGAAGAGAAUUGGAUAGUGCCCUGGCUGAGCGGGGAGUGGAUGCACCUCCUGGCCUGGUUUGAAGAUUGGCCAUGACCUGUGAGGAGCCUGAAUGGAAUGGGAACCGGCCAGCUGAGCUGACUGAUGCAGAGAAUGGGAAACUCUUGAAACUUUUCCCUGAGGGCAAAGAGCUGACUGCCAAUGCUCUGCCUUCUGAUGGUUGACCAGAGAGAACUGCCAGCUGUUUCUAUGGGAACAAGGACUCAGCAUCCACUGGGACAGCUCCUGCUCCUUCAGAUGGCUGCAGUAGUGUGGAAAACUCCGAUCGGACUUUGCAAUCCUGCUGAUGAUUUUAAUAAUGAGCUGAUCACUUUAAUAAAGAGCUGAAUAUUAAUAAAGGCAUAUGCCCUGUUCGUUUCAAUUGGGUGCUCGUCCGGGAUAGCCACGCCCACAAAGGACCACCCCCGAAGAAGGUGAUCAUCUGCUUCGAGGGAUCCUUGGGAAUCGCUGGCUACCCCCGGACCUUGACAUCAGCGUGGGACCAAGCAGCACAGAAGAACGCAGGAUCGGCCCUGGGAUCAUCGUGAGACCAAGCAAAGCAGAAGAACGCUAGAUGGUCUCUUCCAGGUGCUGCUCACCACACAUACCGCAGUGCGAACUCCAGAGAGGUCAGACCCACGUUAUCGGAGUCACAGGACCAGUACCGCCCCUGAUGCCGAACCAGACCCAACAGGACCACCUGCCACCUCUUCUACGUAGACAGCAAUUGAGGGACCAAGAGACCUAUCCCUAGUUAAAUUGUUAUCGAGUGUGUCUUAAUUCCUGAUAAAAAAACCAAGUUUAAAGGCACCCCUCCCACAUCUGCUCAGUCUCCCGCUGGGCAAUUCCCCUAGAGAACUAAAUUUCUUUGAGCAGUGUCUACUGAGAGGAUACACAGUAGGAAGCUGCAAGUUGAUGCGGGCUACAGCCCGAUCAAAGAAAUAGAGGAGGGAUUUGUUAGGAACGAAAGAAAAAAAAAAAAAAACAAAAAACAAAACAACAAAACAACCACCCCACAACUGACCCUCUCCUGGCUAGAGUAACACCCCCCCCCACACCCCAGACAAUCUGAGCAGGGAGAGCUGCCCUGAAGGAAAGUUGCCUGGCAACUUUUCCCUACCUAAUUGAAAUGUGAAAAGAAGCUGCCCACACCUAGAUAGCCCUAUUGUCCUUUGUAACUACCUCAUUUAGCAAGAGUAACUUCGGCUAUGACCAGGACAAAUGCAUAUGCAUUUGGAUAUGCAGAUAGGGCAGGGCCGCCCCCGUGGAUCCUGGGAGGUUUUUUUGGGGAAACUGCACCCCAGGACAGGAAGCUGGAUUCAUCAGAAGAGAAUUGGAUAGUGCCCUGGCUGAGCGGGGAGUGGAUGCACCUCCUGGCCUGGUUUGAAGAUUGGCCAUGACCUGUGAGGAGCCUGAAUGGAAUGGGAACCGGCCAGCUGAGCUGACUGAUGCAGAGAAUGGGAAACUCUUGAAACUUUUCCCUGAGGGCAAAGAGCUGACUGCCAAUGCUCUGCCUUCUGAUGGUUGACCAGAGAGAACUGCCAGCUGUUUCUAUGGGAACAAGGACUCAGCAUCCACUGGGACAGCACCUGCUCCUUCAGAUGGCUGCAGUAGUGUGGAAAACUCCGAUUGGACUUUGCAAUCCUGCUGAUGAUUUUAAUAAUGAGCUGAUCACUUUAAUAAAGAGCUGAAUACUAAUAAA